rnacentral:rRNA from 1 species
AGUGAACGCUGGCGGCAGGCCUAACACAUGCAAGUCGAGCGAGACCUUCGGGUCUAGCGGCGGACGGGUGAGUAACGCGUGGGAAUAUGCCCUUCUCUACGGAAUAGCCUCGGGAAACUGAGAGUAAUACCGUAUACGCCCUUCGGGGGAAAGAUUUAUCGGAGAAGGAUUAGCCCGCGUUGGAUUAGGUAGUUGGUGGGGUAAUGGCCUACCAAGCCUACGAUCCAUAGCUGGUUUGAGAGGAUGAUCAGCCACACUGGGACUGAGACACGGCCCAGACUCCUACGGGAGGCAGCAGUGGGGAAUCUUAGACAAUGGGGGAAACCCUGAUCUAGCCAUGCCGCGUGAGUGAUGAAGGCCUUAGGGUUGUAAAGCUCUUUCAGCUGGGAAGAUAAUGACGGUACCAGCAGAAGAAGCCCCGGCUAACUCCGUGCCAGCCGCCGCUGUAA